rnacentral:rRNA from 1 species
AGUGAACGCUGGCGGUAGGCCUAACACAUGCAAGUCGAACGGCAGCACAGUAAGAGCUUGCUCUUACGGGUGGCGAGUGGCGGACGGGUGAGGAAUACAUCGGAAUCUACUUUUUCGUGGGGGAUAACGUAGGGAAACUUACGCUAAUACCGCAUACGACCUACGGGUGAAAGCAGGGGAUCUUCGGACCUUGCGCGAUUGAAUGAGCCGAUGUCGGAUUAGCUAGUUGGCGGGGUAAAGGCCCACCAAGGCGACGAUCCGUAGCUGGUCUGAGAGGAUGAUCAGCCACACUAGAACUGAGACACGGUCCAAUCUCCUACGGGAGGAAGCAGUGGGGAAUAUUGGACGAUGGGCGAAAGCCUGAUCCAGCCAUACCGCGUGGGUGAAGAAGGCCUUCGGGUUGUAAAGCCCUUUUGUUGGGAAAGAAAAGCAGCAGGUUAAUACCCCGCUGUUCUGACGGUACCCAAAGAAUAAGCACCGGCUAGCUUCGUG